rnacentral:lncRNA from 1 species
AUGAGCAAAACCCGAGUCAGCCUACCAGACCCUCAGACACCACGUGGAGGGGGACCGAGAGCGCACCGUUCAUGGACUGGUCAGCAUCCGGCCAUGUCAUCUGAAAUCAUGGACAGGAUAAACUUGGGACUAUGUCUAAUCACCUGGAUUCUUCACUCGCCUGACAAGGUGGACAAAAGGAAAGAAACACCAGGAAGAGGCAGAGAGAGAUGGCAGGUCCACCUUCAACAAAUUUCCUACGGUUUAACCAGUUCUGGUUGCCUGUGA